AGAGUUUGAUCCUGGCUCAGAACGAACGCUGGCGGCGUGCCUAACACAUGCAAGUCGAACGGAGUGAAGGAGCUUGCUCUUUCAUUUAGUGGCGCACGGGUGAGUAACGCGUAGAUAAUCUGCCUUGGACUCUGGGAUAACAUCUCGAAAGGGGUGCUAAUACCGGAUAAGCCCACGAUGGCGUAAGUCAUUGCGGGAAAAGGGGGCCUCUGAAUAUGCUCCUGAUUCAAGAUGAGUCUGCGUACCAUUAGCUAGUUGGUAGGGUAAGAGCCUACCAAGGCGACGAUGGUUAGCUGGUCUGAGAGGAUGAUCAGCCACACUGGAACUGAGACACGGUCCAGACUCCUACGGGAGGCAGCAGUGGGGAAUUUUGCGCAAUGGGGGAAACCCUGACGCAGCAACGCCCGUGAGUGAUGAAGGCUUUCGGGUCGUAAAGCUCUGUCUAGAGGGAAGAAAUGAUAGUCGGUUAAUACCCGGUUUUCUUGACGGUACCUCUGAAGGAAGCACCGGCUAACUCCGUGCCAGCAGCCGCGGUAAA
rnacentral:rRNA from 1 species